AAGAACAACAACGAAAAGGAGGGUGUGAAUCUUGGGCAACAGCUUUCUUUGUUCUUUGUUCUUUUCCUUUUUUUGUAUU
rnacentral:ribozyme from 1 species